CAAUCAAUUAUUGAAGGGAACAAUUCUUUAUUUUGUAUACUAACAAAAGAUUUUAAGUGAUGUAACUUGAGACAUUAAAUAGGAAAAAAUUAGUUUAAUAACAAAGCAAUAAGGUUAAUCAUUCGGUACUUACAGAUGAAAGUGUAUAGAGAUAAUCACUAUUUUCUUCCCCAUUUUUUCGGUCGUUAUUUAUGCUGACAAAUCGAUUAUAGAGCGUUACGGAUGUACUUUAAUCAUCGACAAUAUUUAACAAAUUAAAUAACGAAGAUUUCCAUAAGCUGGUUUAAGUCACGUGAUUCGAUUGGGAUAUUUAAAGCCAAUUACAUGACUUUUUACUCGUCAUUUGCGGGCGAAAGUCUAAAGGAUAAAUUAAACAAUUUACAAAAUGGCUCUCUUCAAUUUCUUAUGCUUAAAUUUAAUAAUUUUCAUCAUAUUUUCUGAUACUUCUCAUGGCUUUAAGAAUCCCCCAUUCGAUGUGCAAAAAUUUAAAGAUGUUUGGGAGCUUUCAACAUCACUUGAUAAUCAUCACGUGAUUCGUAAAGGAGGAAGGACUCCGUCGCUUCGUCUCCGUUUCGGACGUAGAGCUGUCACUCCUUUCAUUUCACCAUUAAAAAUUCACUAAUUAUUAAAUACAUUCCAUUGCUAAUUAAUUAAAAAAAUAUCAAAAAUAAUUUCUUUAAUUAAUCUUAUUAACAAAGAAAAUACAUUUAAAAAAAUAUAUGAAAAAA
rnacentral:lncRNA from 1 species